rnacentral:lncRNA from 1 species
ACCUCGAAGGUUUGUGGGAUGAAGGCCAGUGAGCCGUCGUCUCCGCCGAGGAGGACAUCGGCGGCCAAGGCGCUGCUGGCGAGGAUUGCGGUGGCGGCGGUGGCGGCGACGGCCACGCCGAAGUCCUUCAACGAGGCCUUGACGGAGAGCUUGGGGAUGGCGGCGGAGGUGGUGACGACGCGGGCGGUGGUGGGCUUGGAGGAUGAGGUGGCGCCGGACUUAAGUCCGGUGAACGAGGGAAUGGUGACGGCGGCGGAGGUGAUGGUGGCCAUUGUUUUGAAGGAUUGUGUGGUGGUGGUGGUGUUGCCGGUGAAGUAUUGGUGGAAAUCAAGAAAUGGAAGAGGGAGGAAGUUGGAAUUUAAUACAUGUGAUGGAGUAUUGUGUGUGGUGUGUGUUUUGUGGAGGAGUGAUUGGAUAGAUAAGGUGUGGAUUGUUAUCCACUAGGAUUGAUCUGAUUGGCUUAGCUGGAUACUAUCAUCUGACGUGGAAUUGGAUAUUUAGUAUGCGAUGUUGUACGAAACAGGGGAUGGAUUUUUUGUGGAACUGGGAAAAUUUGAGGUGGCUCUAAUUUGCAUUUGUUUUUUAUAAUGAAUAUAAUAAACAAAUGACAGCGGAGUUAAUAAAAGGAGAACAUAAAUUCGGCUUAGGGUGUAAUAAUCAGAUUUUGCUUCCAUUUCUUAUUUGAUUAUAAAAAAAUAGGCACAAUAAACAAAAGAACAAUUAGCAACAAAAGAAACUUACGAUCGUCACGGCUUGAAAUACCGAAAACAGAGUGCGAAAUACCGAAAACAGAGUGCGAGAGUCGGAAUGAGGUGAACAAGAAACUGAAGAGAAAAAAAGAUGUAAGGAUUUAUAAGAGAUUUGGAAGUACAUAUAUCAGCCAUUAGUAUAAGUGUAGUACAACAGAAAUGCACCAUUUGCCACAAAGGUAGUACUUACUGUACUACAAAUUCUUACCAGUACAACAACGCAAUAUUUUCUGUUUCGAACAUCAAACGAACAUUAAACUGUCAUAAUAAUAAAAUCCAAAGGCAUGAGUAAGUAGUUCAAAUCGAUAAAUUCUUUCUGAAAAUAAAAAUCAAUUUCCAAAUCCACUUAUUAACAAAAUAAUAUAUUUUGAGCUCUAAGGAUAGCUUGCUUCAAUGGCAACAAUAUAUCGAAUUUCUAUGCACAGUUUUCCCCCAGACUAACAGCACUUGCAUUAUUAGGCCUCUCUAUUAGCAAAUGAGUUCUCAGGAAUCACGUAAUUACCACACAAUCAGAAACGAGAGUGAUAUAUGUGUACAAUAAUUCGUUAAAUAUUAACAUCGGGAACUAUUUAGUUCCCUGAUCGUCACAAUAGAAACCUUCGUAUUUACAUGUACUAAAAUUAAAAUACAGUCGCAUGUAUAAGAGCAAUAGAAUGUACAGACAGCAAUAUAUACAAAACCAAUUUCUCUUACAUAUUACAAUCCCAACAACAUUUGUGAAAUGCUCACAAGAGUGGGAAAAUAUCAUCAUUCGUAGUGUCAUCACCCAAGUCAAAAAACUUGAAGCCCAUUUGAUCAUUCGGGUUCGGGUCGAAACUUGGAUCCACAUAGCAUUUCAUCUCGUGGAACAGAUUCAAAUUGUCCACCAGCUUAUGGAAUACAUUACACCCACAACACUAUUAUACCCAAAACAAAAAAAACAAAAAAAAAAAAACCAUAAGAACAAGUAUUUUUUUAUUUUUUAUUUUUAUUUUUUAUUUUAUAGGAGAACAUAAGAACAAGUGUAUAAACACUACUAUACUAUGUGUUCUUAAUUGAUAAUGCCAAAGUUGCCUAUAGUUUCUUGAAAGCUUUCAAUACAAAAUUAAGACAAUUUCAUUUAUUUCCUUGAAUGGUUUUAGAAUAAUAUUAAAUAUUAAAAAAAAAACAUCAGAAAUACUUUGCUAUUGCCUGUGUGUACCUGGACAAAGACGGUGCCGUCAGUGUAGGCAUGUGGAUUGAUGGCACGUGUGGUGCGCUGGCCACAUACGUUGCACGUGAAGGCCACGCGCAUUCUGCGUCUGGGGGAUUUGGUGAAGAGCGACCACGGGAAAGUGGACACCCGAUCCAUACCUGAAUUAGGGUCGGAUCCCGCGGGCAUGGAUGGGCCUUCCAUACCCGACCCGGUUGUCCAUCCCCUCACGUUGGCUGCACUCAGAACCAGCCCCAUCGCUGCAUCCUGCAAAACGAACAACUCAACGAAAUCUCAAUUUGCACGCAGCUAAUUUAACCUAAAAGUUUCAAUCUCAAUUUUCACACAGCUAAUUUAACCUAAAAGUUUCAAUGUCAAUUUAGGAUAAUUGGUAAAACAGAAAUAAUAAUUGCCUGGGAAAUGAAGCGAUUUCUGUUGAUGGGGACGAGCGAGGAUUCGGAAGAAUCGGGCUUGAAAUCGGGUUCGCCGCCACUGUUACUACGAUUGGCAUCAUCUGUAAAAUAGAGAAGAAAAAUUGCGUCAGAAAUUGAUCGAUAUAAUGGAAAAGGAUCACGGAGAGAGAAAAAAGGGGAGGGAGAGCUGACUUUUGGGGGAGGUGGAGAAGCGGAGGAGCCGGCGGGAAGAAGGUUCUCUGGAUUUAUUGGGGGAGAAGAUCGGCAGCGAAACGGCGCCGGUAGUGGUGGUAAGGGCUUCCAUUUCCGAUUAAUUUUCUUUUUCCGGGGGUAAAUUCGCAGUAUUGCAUACAGGUGGUGGUUGUGGUUGUAUGUGAUUGAUUGUUGGAGAUAUUUUUUUUCCUAAAGGAAUAAUUUUCAGGCCGAAGAAAUGUGGACUUGGUCAUAUUUUUGUUGGCCCAUAUUUGUUACAAUAUUUGGGCUAGAAAUUGAAUACGGGAGAUAGUUUGGCCCAAUAGGCGCUUGGUCUAUUAUAAUUCAUCCGGCCCUAUGGUUUUUUUUUUUUUUUUUUUUUUUUUUUUUUUUUUUUUUCAAUUAACCGGUACUACAAAAGAAGAAGGGGUGGAAAUUGAAACGGAAUUUUGAAUUCCGUCGAUUCUGACAAGUAUUUUCGUUUUUAGAGAUUUAUAGAUGAGUAAAGCAGGACACUCUGAAAAGAAGAAAGCAGUUUAGGUACAAUCAUCGUCAUCGUCAAUGGGAGUGUCGCCCAAAGCAAACAUGAAGAAUUAAUUUGGUGGUACUCAGAUUAUGAAACUGCGAAUGGCUCAUUAAAUCAGUUAUAGUUUGUUUGAUGGUACCUGCUACUCGGAUAACCGUAGUAAUUCUAGAGCUAAUACGUGCAACAAACCCCGACUUCUGGAAGGGAUGCAUUUAUUAGAUAAAAGGUCGACACGGGCUCUGCCCGUCGUUGCAAUGAUUCAUGAUAACUCGACGGAUCGCACGGCCCUCGUGCCGGCGACGCAUCAUUCGAAUUUCUGCCCUAUCAACUUUCGAUGGUAGGAUAGUGGCCUACUAUGGUGGUGACGGGUGACGGAGAAUUAGGGUUCGAUUCCGGAGAGGGAGCCUGAGAAACGGCUGGAGAGAAGAUCGGGAAUUAGGGAAAUAACCGAUCACAUCAAACGAUGAGAAUCAAUGGACAUUAUCAAAGGUCAAGAUCAUUCUAAGGGUUUGACCGAACCGGUGAGCUUAAGUAGUAUUGGGCUUCGAUCUUGGGUCACCUUAGGUGAAAAUGGUUAAAUGGACCGGAUAUGACUUAAUUCAUUGGGCCAAAAAAUCAAACAAAUAUUAAGAUUAAAAAAAGGGGAAUAUAUUUUGUCUCUAAGGGAGUAUUAAUUGCCAUUAAUACCCCUGGCUCUUUUCCUUUCUCUCGUGUGUUUGGUAGCACGUCAGGGAUUAUAAAUGCACCCAUAGCAUAACACACCACUCUUCUUCCUUCUUAAACGAUUCAUCUCAUUCACCAUUUCUUAUUUGUUAUUCAAAAAUAUUCAAGGGCAAAAAAAAAAAAAAAAAACACAAAAAAGAGAUUAUUAUUGCGCUUUCGGCGUUGGCUGAAAUAGUCGUUAUGGUGUUGGCUCGGCUCACUCAGAGAUUAAAAUCUUUAUAUACUCUACUGCCACGAAAAAAAAAGGCUAAUGGUUAUAUUGUUUUUUUCUGAUUGAGCCGCGCCAAUAUCUUAAUGCCUUCUUCAUUUAUGAUUGUUGUAUUGUGUAUUUCCUAUUACGAAUGCCAAUAAUUCAAUUAUCUCUCGCUCGAGGUUAGAUGUUACACUCUGUUUAUUUUUUUUAUUUUUAUUUUUUUUGUUGACGAAGGAAUUUGCAGUAACAAGUGAGCAAUGAGCAUCGGCUAAUUAACUCCGAAAAUCACACGAAUUGUAAACCACAUUGAACAAAUUAAACCACGUACGAUGAGUUGUUGCAGUAGUCCGUUAUUAUAAACAAAUAUAUAAUUAAUUUCCUAAUUCAAUUCGAUCAGGUGCAGCUCUAAGGGUUUGUAAUUGCAGCUCUAAGGGUUACGAACUCAGUUUCGUUUUCGACUCGAUCGAGUUUUUGCAGGUACUAGGUCAAUGGUAAUUAAUUGCAAUACUAUAUCAUCCAUUUUUAGUGUUAAUUGUAAUUUGUACAGAUUAUUGAACGUUUGUCUUCGUUUUAAAACUAACAUAAUUAAUUCCCUCUUAAAAAUUAUUUCAUCUUUUAUUUUACGAAUAUUUUGUGUUUUAUGAUAAAAGGCAGUGCACAUAAUUUACGAAUACUUUCCAGAAUUUUAUUUUUCCGGAACUUGAACACAAAACAUAUACCGCUAAAGUACAUGAUAGUUCAAAAUUAAAUCCACAACUACGGGAUUAACCGAUUAACUCGAUCGUCUCUCUUUAAUUUUAAUUAGUCAUAGAGCAAAACUUGCAAAGCGAAAACGAUUCCCCUCGGGCUAGGCUGAUAAGACUUGUCCUUGUAUAAAUUUAAAAUCAUUUAAUUUUCUAAUUUGUGGGUGGUGAACAUUUAUUACAGUUACUGAACUAUUUGAUUCCCCAUUUCACCUUUGGAGGAUCUGCUACUUUGUGGAUAGAGAGUAUGGCUGUAAAUUCUUACUCUCAAAAAAGAAAAAAGAAAAGAAAAAAAAGAAGAGUUAGUUGAGGGGAGUAAAUGUGAGAAGUGGGAUUGUUGGGCAGAGUCAUAAAUAUGAAGAGCAAGUUACACUGCAAAUAAUUCAAUUAUGGAGGAAAGAAAAAAAAGAGAAUCUCUGCAACAAAUUGUUUGCCAACACAAGGAGGGAGGGAUGCAUGCCUGCCUGCUUUUAUGUUUUGCUAUCGGACAAAGAUUCCCUUAUUUAUUACUCCUUCUUUAUAUUAAUUAAUUAAAAAAUAAAUAAAUUCUGUAUAGGUAAUGUAUUUGCAAAAUAAAUUUUUAAUUUUCUAUUUAUUUUCGUAAAAUAUAGAAAAUAUACUUAAAUUUGGAUUUAUAGACGAGUAGUAAAGGCCAAAGGGACAAAUAUGUAAUAUACAACUUUAAGCCCCAAAAAUAGUAUAAAUAAAUGAAUGAAGUCUUUUUAUUUGAAGAAUUAAAACACUUUGAAUUAUUGCAUCCGAUUUAAAAUCAAAUGAAGAUCUUUCUUUGCAUAAUCACUAAUUAUAGUGGAAAUUAAAAGGGGGAAAAAUAGAGUUCGAAUCUAUGUAGCGUGGACACAGAAACGACGACACGGAGAAAACACGGAUGAGUCUCCAACACAAUUGAAUAAGGUUCCCGGCCCAAAUUACCGCAAACCAAUUUUUUGGGCUUUGUCAGAUGGGCUCAACAGAUAGUAGGGUUUUUGGGCUGGGCCGAAGGGAGUACACCCAAGUAAUAGUUUUUCUGUCAAAUUUAUUUGUCCACGUGUCUCUCUCCUAUUGCUCCUUCUUUAUUCACUCCCUCCUUUCCAAAGUCGCGUCAUAGAUACAUGCGUUUAUAAGUAGACUGCAACGCCUUCUUCAAAACGACGUGGGUUUGGCAAUGGUAGUUUCUACUGUUACAUAAUCUUACUAUAUUUAGAUAAAAGUAAAAACAAAAUAAGAUUGAGAAUUUUAGAGAGAUCGAAUAAUGUGAAAAUAAGGGUAAAGUUUAGUCAAUGAAUAUUAUAAUUGAGAAUUUCUAGGUCAAUAAUAUUUCGUAUUUCUCCUUGUAUAAUUGAUUAUAGGCCAGUGUAGGAAUUUUAAACUAAUAUUUAUUUAUGUUUUAAAAUCUCUUAUCCAUGUGAUCUCUAUAAUGGAGAUUUUAUUUAUUUAUAUUUUAAUUGAUACUAAAUUAUAUGGUGGAGAGAUGCAAAAGCCAAAUUGGGCCAUCACACCAUCAUAACAUAACCAUGGUCAUCGGCCUCAUCAUUUAUUUCUUGAAACUCAACGUAUACACACACUGCUCUCUCUCUCUCUCUCUCUCUCUCUCUCUCACACACACACACACAUACUUGAUUCUCAAAACAUUCAAAAUACAAAACUACAUGUGCCAUCAUUGUCCAUCUUCUCCACCACUCUUUACUCACGUGACUUGGGCGAUAGGCUCUCAAUCAUUUUAAUAACAAUUAUAUAUCAGUAAAAUAUAAUGACUUUUAGUACGUUAUAGUAAAAAAGUCAGCAUGCAGUCACCACAUAUAUAUUUAAUUAUUAAAUGAUCAGUAAGCUCAUGAAUUAAUUAGUACUAUAUAUAGGCCAGGUAGUAGGAAUAAUGUAUUAGUGUUUAAUCAGAAAUGAGUAACAUUUAUUCCUACUAAGCCCUAAUUAAGUACUUUAAUUUGAAAUGAAAACCAAUUGAUGCAUGGUUAAUAAUUAAUUAAUUAAUGAUAUAUCUGUGUGUUAGUUGUGGAAAUAAAGCAAAUAAGUAAAGAGUAACGACUAGUGCAUGCAAAGGGUGUAGUAGUAGUUGGGCAAUAAAUAGAAGGAGUGCGACACAUGAGAUGAUGGUAAUCAAUACACAACACAAACAGCAAAAUUUACAGACGAAUACUACAUUUACAACUAAGUGUAAUAAAUACAACAGUACGUUGAAUAAUAAUUUAAUUUGUGAGUGUAAGAAUAAGUUUGAAUAUAUAUAUAUAUAUAUAUAUAUAUAUAUAUAUAUAUAUAUAUAUAUAUAUGGUGGGAGGGAGUUAAAUGUAAUUAAUGCUAAAACAACUUAUGAUAAUACAAAAAGGAUAAAAAGAAAAAGAAAGUAAAUAGUCGUCCUAUAAAUGGAGGGAAAAAAAAAAAAACAGUGGGAGUGCAGGGCGUGGGCUUGUGGGUGUGAUGAGUGUGACAUAUCACUUGACAGAAAGGGAGUUUUUUCUUUCAUUGGGUUCUUGGAAAAGGGAUAUUUAAUUAUCUUCUUAAUUAUUGCAUUAUAUAUUUUUCUUCCCUUUAAUUAAUUAUCUUCAUUAUUGUUGUGAAAAGAAAAUGUACAUGACAUGUUAGGGCUUUUUCAAAUUAUGAAGCUUCUAGUCUAGCCCUUGAUUCCUCCAUCACUAAAGUCAACACUUAUUUGAGUAUUUUUUUUCAAAUAGGAAAUCACACAAUUUCAUAGUCGGAAUUGAAAUAGCCUUCCUCCCGUAUACUAUUUCUCUACGUCCCCGACCAACAUAUCGCUUGGCACUCUCUCAUUGUCAAGUACACUCGAGUUUUUUCUGUCAUCAAUUAAUAAAUUAACUAUGUAAUUUAUUUUAUAGUUAAUUUAUUAUUUUUAGAUCUAAUAUAUACACUUUAAUAUUUUAAUCAACUAUAGUCGAUUAAUAAAUAAAUCAGCUACACAAACAACAUAGGCGAUUUACUUUCAGUUUAAUUCAGAAAACAUAAGAAGGGGUUAUCACUAAUUACUUUCAAAUAGUACUGAACCUAUCUCAAUGCAAUUUCCAAAACGGGGGUUUUCCCCACUAAUUAUCCCUUUUAUAAACAUUUCUUGUUUCAUAUUACCCUGUCACGUUAUUAAUAUUGCAUUAAUUAUUUUUCAUAAUAUAUAUUAAUUUUGAUAAUAAUUAUAACCAACUCUUAAACAACGUUUAAUUUUAAAAUGUGAUGGAUACAUCAUUGAUCUCUUUACACUUGGUUCAAAUGUUUUUUUUUUCGGUGAGCAUCGAAAAAAAGAAAAUUUAGGACACAAAAGCCUGAAAUCCCAAAAAAAUGAACAUGGUGAAAUUAUUAAUUUUAGAAAACAAAAAGUAAGGUGGUUUUGAUUGAUAGUAGAAAGUAGAAAGGGAUUAGAAAAGAAGAAGAGAAAGUUAAGUAGUGGCAACAGAAAUCGAUAAUUCUGUAAACUUAGGUCAAAAAUAAAUAAAUAAAUAAGCAACAAGUUUCCUCUUUCGUAGGUCAUCAGCCCAAAACCUAAAGACCUUUUUAAGUCUUUAAUCCCUUUUUAGAGAGAGAGGGAGAGAGAAAUAGAGAGAGGGGCGGUUUGUUGUGUGUUCAUCAGAAACGAGGAUAGAGAAAAAGUCGUCUGUCUAAUAGUGGUGGGGAAGGUGAAGAGAUUAUUAUGAUCAUACUCAUGAUACGAAGGUUUCAUCACAAACGAGGAUAUCCAUCGAUGUCUUUUUUUCUUUUUCUUUUUUUUUUUUUUAAUUUAAGGGGGGGUGGGGUGGGGGGCAAAGAAUAUAAUUACUAUGAGGAUUCUUUGAUUAUAUUUACCUUGAGCAAGUUUAAGUAUAAAAACAUGGCCAAGAAUGAACAUUCCAAUCUGCUUUAUUUAGCACUACCAUUCUCUCUCUCUCUCUCGUGUUGUCCAAAUCUUGAACUAAUUAAACACCACUCCUAUUAAUAAUCAUUCACAGCUUGAAAAACCUGGCCUCUUCUCCUCUUUCUCUUUCUCUUUCUCUUUCUCUCUCUUAUUUACUGUACUGCACACACAUCUCACAUAUUAAAUAGUCCCCACCCUCAUCUGCCCUUCUCUCCCAUAUUCUCUUAUUAUUACAACCUAGUUUCUCUUUCAUGUGUGUGUGUGUGUGUGUGUGUGUUGUAGUUUUUGUUGAAUCUUGUGGUAUAAGGGUCUGAGGGUCGAAGUUGCUGGUGUUUGAUGAAAUGAAUUCAUGGUGGGUUUGUCAAAGGGUUUCUUACAGAGUUUAUUGGCAUUCUGUCCACCUCCUGCUCUAUAUGGAUUUCUUUUUCUUUUAAUUUGAAGUAAAAGAUAAGAACUAGAUUAUAAAAAGAAGAAAAAAAGUGAUUUAUAUUGUCUGUUGUGGAGGAGGUGGGCAUACUGCCAACUGAGCUGUGUUGGAUUCUCUUUGCAAAACCCUCGUGAAACUUGCUUUUGCUUUCUCACCUCUUACUUAUUUGCAGCAGCUCAGAUCAAGGUAUAUGUAUAUGUACAUGUAUAUAUAUCAUAUAUGGGGAUCUUGUGCAUAUAUAUUGUUCAUUUUUAUUUCUCGAAACUCAUGUUUGAUUUCUUACAUGCACGAAUCUUAGGUUUUCUUACAUGCCAUGUUUAAUUCAGUUCCCUUAUACAGUUGUAUUUUGCUGUGUCUGAAGUUGUGGAUAUGUACUUUGGAACCCUAAUGGCUCCCACACCCCCCCCCUAAUCUUUUUGUUAAUUUAUAUCUGAAUUUGAUUAAAUCUGUUUGAAGAAAUCCUUCUUUUUCCUAAAUCUUUGUAAAUUAGUUAAAAGGUAAAAAGCCAGGAAAUAAUGAGAAAUUUGAGGCUUUCAAUCAAGAAAAGCAAGCCGCGGCAGAAUAUUUUACCAAGUAUUAUUUUCUUGUUCAUUGCCUUUUCUGGGGUUCAAGAUCUCAUUUUUCCUUGUUUCUUGAUUUGGGUUAUUUUGCAUAUGCAAUUUUUUUUUGUUAGUAAGAGAGAUAUAGAUACACAGUAAGAGAGAUGGUGGUGGUGGUAGGGCAAAAGAAUAAUAUUAUUAUGAAAGGGAAAAGAUAAACUUUUGUGGUUGCAGAGCAGAAGGGCGUUGGUAUAUACGUAGAGGCUCAUGAUUGAAACACUGACAUUUACAAUUAAUUUAUUAUUGCAAACACACUACUAUCUGUCUAUAUUCCAGCUUCACCACCCCCAUUUAAGUUUCUUGGGCUCCGUUGCUGUGAAUUUCACUGACAGUCAAAUCUUCUAAUUCAACCUCACUCCAUAUUAUUAUUACACUUCAGUUUUCCUUUUUAAUUAUUUGUUCAUUUUUUCUUUCUUUUAUAUUAUAUUUAACUUUAGAAUAUAUACAAAUGUUGUAUUACUUAUUUU